UGAUAUGUUCCACCAAUUAUGAUCAUAAAUAAUGUGAUCUAUCAUAUAAUAUACUAAUAUGAUGUGAUGAGAUAAUAGCUAUAUGAUCUGAAAAUACUGAUCAUAAUCCAAGAGAACCGUUAAUUCUCAAGAAAAUAAUAAUUAUCCCUUUUUUUUUUGGUAAUGUGUUUCUGCUUCAGGGAGCAAUGCAAACUCCAAUGUACAACUCCAAGUCAACCAAGAUUUCUAUUGUCCUCAAUGGCGAAGGUUACUUUGAGAUGGCAUGUGGAUCUUCUUCUAAGAGCGAGGAGGAAAGGCAGCUGGGCGAGAGCAGCAACCCACAGCUAUAUAUGCUAGUUAGUUUUCGAAGGAGUACUAGCGGAUCAUCGAUAUAGCAGCAGCAACAGCUGUUUUCAAUUAUUUUGUUUAGAAUUUAAUUUAGAAUCUAGGGAGUAAAUUUUAAAAAUUAUAGUACAGAAUAUUGUUUUGAAAUGAAUGGCAAUGAAGGGGCUAUGUUUUUGUGAGUUUAUUUUUGAUAUCUACCUACAUAUUUUAAGGAGUUUGAAAAUCUAUGCUCCCUUACUUUUUAGCUGUGCCAUAAUGAUAGUCUACUGGUUUUAGAGCAUACUUAGACAUUGGAUGUUUUGUGGUCAUAUACUCUUAUCCUAGCAUUGCAAUCAUCUGCUUGAACAAAAUGCAUUUCAAUGCACAUCUCAGCUGGAGAUGGAAUACAGCUUUCCCUGUAUCAAUUAUCAUGGUAUGUUAUUAGGAAUGAAAUAGGAGUAUUGUAUGCUAGGGCGUAGGAACUCUUUUUUAACUGACAUAUGAUCAACUGUGCAUGUAAAUGGCUAGAUAUUCACAGCCAUAGUGUCACAAGCUCACAACCAACACCAUCACAUGUAUAUUACACCAUAAAGGCAAAUCGGCCAGAAACUGUUUACAUCAAGAAGCCAUAAACUGUUUACAUAUUGCAAAACUGUUUACAUCAAGCAACCAUAAAAAGGUUUAGCAUCAGAAAAGGAUUAGCUUUCAGCUCAGUUUUGGCAAAUGAAUAAAAGCUAAAGUAACACACAGAGUUGGGGCAAAUUUCUACAUUCUUCCAUUCUACAGAAAAUACAUAACACACAAAGUUGGGAAAAAUUUCCUGCAUCCUUCCACUAAAUAUAAAAAUAGUGAAGCCCAUAUCUUGCAACAAAAUUUAACACAAAAAGUCAAAUUAUAAAAAUCGUUUCAAUUUGUGUUGCCAGCAAAUAAAAACUAAAUUGAGUCCUAAAAAUGAAGUAAAUAAAAAGGAAAAAAAGCUUCUCGAAUGUCUUUCUUGACAAAAAAAGAAGGAAAAAAGCAGAAAUACCCACAAGCAUUUAGAAGAGAAUAAAUCAACAAAAGAACAGACCUAUAAUAGAUGGUUAAUUCUCAUCAUAAUGAAGAUGAUUUUUUAAGAUAAAAAUUCUCAUCAAAUUGAAGUUAGUUGAACUUGAACCUAUUACUACAACACUACUGUAAUUCUCAUCACCAUCCUAAAUUGCCAGGAACCAACCAGGCUAACUGACUGACUAUAAUUAUUUUUAUUUGUGAAAUACUCUAAAUAGAAAGAGAAGAUUUAUUAUCUAAUAUAAAGAUUAUAAAAUGAUAAAUGGAGGAUGAGAAUCCUAUUAAACUAGAAAAAUGGAAAAUAAAAAUUUCUAAUACGAAUCUUAACCUGAUAACAUGUAUCUAUCAGGACAUUUUAUAUCAAAUGCUUAAAGAACUUCUUCAUUUUUAGAUAUAGUAUCCAAAAAUGAAGAUGACAAUUGCUAUUAACUGUCAAAGAAAAGGUUGCAUUGUCCCGAGUAUUUAACAAGAGAAAGAAUGUGCUUAUAUUAAUAUGUAAAAACAGUUUAUUUCUAGUUAUGUCAGUUUGCCACAGGAUAAGAAAGAGCUUGUACCAACAAAUUACUAUCCCAACUAUUUUUACCUUAUCAUAACUCCUUCACCACAAAAAGUCUUUAUACUUUGACAGUUAGUUCUCGCUUUGCUGCCAACUGACUGAAUUUUGACCCAACCAACGGUUUAUGCGUUCAAUUUUAGGAGAAUCCAUAGCUAAAAAAUUCAUAAUUUAUCAAUCAAUCUCAAUCUUAAUAACUACUAUUUUAGGUAAAUUUGGAAGAAAAAAAUGAUUCUAAACCAAAAAAUUAAAUAAAAUCCACAAAAUAAAUCAAACCCAUAAUCCAUGAUCACAAAAAGAAAAAACUAGAAUUAAGAUUGGAACUUUUAACAACUUACCAGAGCAUCAAACAAAAGCAUAACAGCGAGAGCAAUUAGCGAAUCGAGUCCACCAUCGUUUAAAGCUGGGAAAUAAUAGGAUAAAAUGACAACAAAAUAUUUCAAGCCCUUACCGAAUCGAAGUGUGGAACAAGGAGAUCGAACUGAUGAGAUGAAGGAGAUCGAAGUGAGGGCUUGAGGAGGAUUGAAUUGAGGGCUUCCGAUUUUAGGGCUUGAGGGGAUCGAACUGAGAUUUCAAGGGCUUCGAUUUUCUGAAGCUGAAGUUGGAGAAGGAACUCUGGGCUUCGAAGAUUCGAUAAGGGCUUCGAUUUUCUGUUUUGCAGCAAUCGGUUUUCUGAAGAUUUCAAAGCUCGAUUUACUGUUUUGGAAGAACUCUCAGUCGAAAUCCACAAGUAGUGAGGAGAGAUAACUGAAAUGAAAUUAAAAAAACCU
rnacentral:lncRNA from 1 species